CACAAAAUCCAAUUGAAGCUGCUGUUCUCCCUUCGACACUGUAGUUUUGCGUUUUUCUCGUGGAUUUGGCUGUCUCAAGGACCAAUUUCCUGUUCCUCUAUAUCAAAAGGUGUAGCACGAGUUCUCUUCCCAAUGCAUGAAGAUGGUAGUUCAACGAUGCAAUCCUAAAAUCCCAUUUCAGAGUUCUCAAGAUCAAGAAAGGUGACCGAAGUUCUAGUUGAAGGAGAACGAGUUCAAUGAUCCACAGAAGAUAGACGAUUCCAAAAGGCCGAGAGUUGGUGCAGGAACAUACAAUCUAGAAGGACUUUGAUGAUUACAAUCAGAAGGUUAGAAAGUAUUAAAGUUAUUCGAGUUUGACAGUAGUGUAAGUUGAUUAAUUUAUAGUGGAUUCUUGCUAGCUUGGAAAAUGAGUUUUUAUUUUUAUCCAGCGAGGGGUUUUAUCCGUCAUAAUUUUCUAGUGUUAUUUACUUUUUAGCAAUUUAUUAACUAUAAUAAUUCAAUAUAGAAUAGUUUUUUCAUGUGAAUUCAUCCGGAUUAACUAAUAACUGUGACUUGGAGCAUUUAUUAAUCGUUAAGUUUAAAGUCCACAUAAAAUACGUAUUCACCCCCUUUAGGUGUUUACAUGGUCGAACUUCAUAGUUUCAAAAAUGAUAAUAUUUUAUUGUAGAUCCUUUUC